rnacentral:rRNA from 1 species
GAUCAUGGCUCAGGAUGAACGCUAGCUACAGGCUUAACACAUGCAAGUCGAGGGGCAGCGGGAUUGAAGCUUGCUUCAAUCGCCGGCGACCGGCGCACGGGUGAGUAACGCGUAUCCAACCUUCCGUACACUCAGGGAUAGCCUUUCGAAAGAAAGAUUAAUACCUGAUGGUAUCUUAAGCACACAUGUAAUUAAGAUUAAAGAUUACAUCGGUGUACGAUGGGGAUGCGUUCCA